AACGAACGCUGGCGGCAUGCCUAACACAUGCAAGUCGAACGAGACCUUCGGGUCUAGUGGCGCACGGGUGCGUAACGCGUGGGAAUCUGCCCUUGGGUUCGGAAUAACAGUUAGAAAUGACUGCUAAUACCGGAUGAUGACUUCGGUCCAAAGAUUUAUCGCCCAGGGAUGAGCCCGCGUAGGAUUAGCUUGUUGGUAAGGUAAAAGCUCACCAAGGCGACGAUCCUUAGCUGGUAUGAGAGGAUGAUCAGCCACACUGGGACUGAGAAACGGCCCAGACUCCUACGGGAGGCAGCAGUGGGGAAUAUUGGACAAUGGGCGAAAGCCUGAUCCAGCAAUGCCGCGUGAGUGAUGAAGGCCUUAGGGUUGUAAAGCUCUUUUACCCGGGAUGAUAAUGACAGUACCGGGAGAAUAAGCCCCGGCUAACUCCGUGCCAGCAGCCGCCGUAA
rnacentral:rRNA from 1 species